UGUAGCUCACUGGUAGAGCACUUACCUAGCAUGCAAGAGGCCUUGGGUUCAAUCCCCAGCA
rnacentral:tRNA from 1 species